UUUCCGUAGGUGAACCUGCGGAAGGAUCAUUCAUUAUAAAGUGUUUUAUGGCACUUUUUAAAAAUCCAUACCCACCUUGUGUGCAAUGUUAGAUCUCGUCAAUCUUGGCGAGAUUUUUAUACAUCAACUCAUUCUUUAACUAAUUUGUCUGAAAAAUAUUAUGAAUACUUAAUUCAAAAUACAACUUUCAACAACGGAUCUCUUGGCUCUC
rnacentral:misc_RNA from 1 species